rnacentral:misc_RNA from 1 species
ACACCUCAACUCUCGUGGUCUUCCGCGAUGAGCUUGGACUUUGGAGGUUUGCUGGCCCUGCGGCCGGCUCCUCUCAAAUGAAUCAGCUUGCCAGUGUUUGGUGGCGUCACGGGUGUGAUAACUAUCUACGCUCGCGGUCGCCCGCCAGGUUACCCUCAGCGAUGAAGGUUCAUUGGGGCUCACAAACGUCUCUCCUCAGCGAAGACAACUUUUGAAC